CCAGACUCGACAUCUUUGGCUCCAUCGAAUAGCUUCACCAACUCGCGAAGUCCCAGCAAUAGGUAGGCUCUGGCUAGGUAUCCACCCUCGUUUCCUUCAGCAUUCUGCCAAUCCUGGAUUCUUUUGAGAAUUUCCUUUCCAGCUCCACUAAACCACGCUCCAAGUAUCGCAGUCGCUUGUUGGCACUGACGGCCAUUUCUUUCCACUAUUUAAUUAGCUUUUGGUUGGCUUCUUGUAUCUCACGGUGCUCUCUUUCACAUUCCCGAAUCCUCUGUCGUAGUUGAUUGUAUUUGACUUGCACCUCGUCCCUUUCAUUUAUGAUCCUGUGACCUCGAACAAACCCGGGCUGACCCAGACCGUUAUGGAUAUCCUCCAGCCAGCCUGAAUAGUAUGGAGUACAACCGGCAUGGUAUCCCUUCCGAUGAUGAUUUUGCAAUGCCACAUAUGUUGAGCUUGGCAAUUGUAAGGGCUAUCAUCGUCGUGGAAGUCGGCUCGAAAGUGACUCCUCUUGUCGACUCCUGGUAUAACCUGCUUCCUACCAGCCGGUCUCAUAACUCAGAGAGGGACAUAAGGGUAGGGUCCUCUCAAACCGAUCAGAUUAAGAAAUGGUGAAUCCAUGGAUGGUCAAUGAACUCCUCGGUAGGGAACCACUCGAGCAGCCAUUGUAUUUGACCCUCAGUUAGAUUUUAAAAUAGCUCUAGCUACUCCUUAGCAUCUUCCAGCUGGGCACACAUGUUAGGCAUGUGAAUCUCUUGUCGAUAUUCACCCCUUUGGAGAUGCUCCAUGAACCAGAGCUGGAGUAGCAAAUUGCAGCCCUCGAAGUGUUUUGCCCAUUGUUAACACUUUUCGAAGGCUCAGUAUAUCUCUAUAAUGAUCAUGGGCACUAUGUUGAAUAGUUUCCACCCAAUUCCCUCCAUUAAAGUAUUGGUUACCAUAGCUAGCCUGGUGUGGAUUCUUGCUUUCUUCAUUGGAAACACUAUCAUUCCCAGCAAACAAAACAUGAAGACAAAGACCCUUCGGUGAAUAUUCCCCAAUGAUGUGAGGGCGAACUCACCAGGAUAAGUACGGUACCUCUCGUACAAAUAAUCAAAGGGGAUAUAAGACUCUUUCAAACAUGUCAAGUUUGGAUUUUUCUUUAGACCCAUCAUUUUGAGAAAACCUCAGCUCUUGCCGUUUUCAGGAAUUAACAAGCCCGGAGUUUCCCAUGGUAUACCAGCCAAUCCUCUUAUUUCUUCUACUAGGGGUGUCAUCUCAAUGUCUCCGUAGUGGAACACUGACCUAUCACAAUCCCAUAAUAGAGUAGCAGCUUCUAUGAUUUUGUUGUUGGGUUAGAUUUCCAGGAGGGAAGGUAGAUUUUCUAGGUAUUUUCGGAUAAGAGUCUGAUCACUAGAAUGAAGAUCUUCCACCAGCUUAGAAAUUUUGGGUGGAUGUUGGUGACCAUGUUUAAUCUAGGGACUCCGUGCCUCAUAUUGCUACAAGAAAAAAGGUUUAGGCCCUUACCCCAACCGGACUCGACUAUUUAAAUAUCAAUAAUUAUCAUAAAAACAUUUGGUUCUCCAAAUAAAUGCAUUGAACGUGGUAGUGUCUGUUUGGGUUUUAGGGAAAACCAGUGGACUUUGGACAAGGCUAUCUUAAUGAGUCAUUAUGCGGACAACAUAACUGACUCUACUAAGUUUGACCAUGAUUCAUGCACAAUUAAACAGUGUGAAGUUUCAAUAGGGUUUUAGAGUCGCCAUGUUGUCGCACCCCUUUUUCUCACAAAUCGGGUUUAUGACAUUUGGGAGGACAACUCAUUCCCUUUUGGGAAUUUGAAUUUUUGAAUUGAUGAGCGCCACUUAAUGAUUGCAUUAGGACAUCAAGAGAGUUUGAUUUUGAGUGAUCAGAGAAUGGGUAAGGGCUUGAAAUUAUCCCAAGGGAAAGGUAUUAGGCACCCCUCAGGAUCCAAUAGUGUGGUUCCCAGCCAGACAAUUAUUUAACUUAGGUGCAACUAACACGGCUCAAUUAAGAGGGUAUUUCACAUAUAAAAGUUUUAAAAUAAACAAAGUUUGGAAGAGCACUUAAGAAGGUCGAUUUUAGAAAAUAAGGAGUAAAAAUGUUAAGGAAAUAAGAAUAAAGGAAGGGGGGUCCUAGGUUUAUUAAAAAUAUGGAUCACAUCAAUGCAACACUCGGUAAUCACUCCUCAAAAUUGGGGUUACACAUGGUAUUAGUGCACCGGUCAUCAUAUCCAUAUCUAUCCUUCUCACCAUGUUAAGGUAUUUAAGCGCGGAAUGGUCUCGAUUACUUAUUGCAUGCUAUUACUCGACCCAAUCUUAUCAUUCCCGGAGGAAUUUAGGACUACUAACCCUGAAGGGGAGGGAUGUUAUGCUUAUUAGUAGUUUUAAAGGCGAAAGUUAUAAGGCAACACAGAAAACAUGUAUAGCAAGUAGGGGAAAGUACAUAACAAACAAAAAGGGUCAGAUAUACCUCCUUCUAACAAAGAAGCACGUAAUUAGCAUGACUUUAUAUACUGCUUAGCGUCUGAUUAAAUAAUAAACAUGAAAGAACUUAAGAGUUGAGGCAGACUAAUUAUUACAUAAUUCAGCUAAGAAGCCCGAAUCAGGCCUUCCUGCUAGUUGUAUUUAAUAGUACAGAUCCAGUUUAUAACUUUACUGUGAGGCUUACCUAAGCAUUUGGGCAAGAAUCCUAUAGGCUUGGCAUCUAUUGAGUUCAAAAAACAAGAAAAUAUCAAAGUUUGAAACAUGAAGAUUAGACUCGUUAAGUGAGGGGCAAUCCGAUUAAAAGAGAAGCAAGUUUUAGACGAAUUAAUUACCAGUUCUACAAUGGAUAGUUCCACUGAUUUUACGCCUAACACGAUUUGAGUCAAAAUUAUUUAUUAGAAGCUCCUAUAGAAAUUAUUUCUAUGUGUUGUUGGUUUUAUGCCCUUUGGAGACAUAGUAAAAAUGCAGAAUUUUAUUGAAAACUCUAUUCACAUGGUAUCUAGGUGAAUAUGCAGAAUAGAAUAAUCCUAUAGGCAUAAUUUCUAUAUGAAAUUGGGUAUUCAAAACACCUAUAGUUAUGGUAUCUAUAUGAGAAUGCAGAAUUCAAAAAUACCUAUAGACAUGGUAUCUACAUGGAAUGCAGAAUUCAAAAAUGCCUAUAGGCAUGGUAUCUACAUGAGAAUGCAGAAUUCAAAAAUACCUAUAGACAUGGUAUCUACCUCUUUGCAUACAUAGUUACCCGCCCUUUUUACUAAUUAUACCCUAGAGUUUAUUACAAAUUAUUACAACCCGGAAUAAGUAAAAUACAUCAGGAAAUAUAUAUAGAAGAGUACAACCAAGGAGAGCUUGAUUCAGACUUCAUAUCUGAAAUAUGAGGUAAACCAACUCCAUGAGAUCAUAAUCCAAAGACUUUUUCUCAAUUGAGUGUGUCGAAGUUCCCUAAGAGCCUCAAAGGGACUCCGGGCAAUGCUCCCACCCAAAUAUAUAAUAAGAUUAGGAUAAGUGUAGUAUGGAAGGGCCAACCGUCAAGUGUCCGAGUUCAGAGGGAGCUCAAAGGGUCCCAAGGCAGGGCUCACAAGAGGGGGCAUAACUUAAAGACUAAGAGAGGGUGCAAGUGCAGAAACGGAAUUUUGAAAGAGGAAAAGGAGAGGGAAACAACUAUAAAAAAGUACACAUAAGGGAAUAUGGAAUAGGGAGAUUGUAAAGAGCCUAUUGCAUAGGUAAAGGCAUGCUUCAAGUAUGCUCAGCAAUGGAGGAUGCUAGCAUACUCUCAAACCUGCCAAAACACACUAUUUAGAGGCUAGGAUCCCAAGGGAUCGAGUUUGAUUCAUGGACAAUAACUUGUAGUAUUGUCAUGCCUUAGAUCAUAGCUUAAACACAUAUAGGGGUAGGGGUUUGGGAUUCAUAAUAGAGCAGGUAGAAAGAAAUCAAUAUACUAGAGUUGAACUAUACAUAAGUAGUAAGCAGACAGGGAUACAAAAAGCAAAAAAUAAACACAUUGUCGUGGUGCUAGAAGCCUUAAAUCAGGACAAACAAGUUUUAAAGAAGCAAAUAAAGAAACGUAUGGAGUAGGCCUUGUAAACAAGCCACAGUACAAGUAGCAAGAGAGAAUACUUUGAGUGUAAGUAUAAUUUCAGAAAGACUACGAGUGAUAGGUCUGUUUGUGUUAAUGAAAAAGUCGAUAUUAAUAGUGUGAAAAUAGGCAAAAAUAAGGUAAGAAAACAAUUAAGGAACUGGAUAUCAAUUAUAAAUCGAUCAAUAAAAGACUUCCAUUAAUUAAGGAAUUCAAAUUCAAACGCUAGAACUAUUUAAGUAAAGAAAUCAAGUAAACAUAUUCUGCAAAGCAGGCAAUUAGGGGCAAGUACAUAGGAGUUUUAAUUAAGGGAAAAAGUUUUAACUAAAAAAAUAAGGUAGGGAUCAAUCAAUAUACAGUAAAUCGAUGGGUCAAAGGUUUGAAAUUACUGGCUCAUGAAUGGGCUAAGGAAUGUUUUCGACUCAAAUCAAGUGACAGGGAAAUCGGCAACAAGGAAAGAAAUCAAUAAAACUUAUAAAAAGAAAGUCUAAAAUCAAUCAACAUUGAAAGCCAUUUUAGAGAGAAGUUCAACACAUCUAAAAAGCACUCAAAUACUAGGCAUACGAAACUAAGUUUAGGACACAAAUAAGAAGUGUCAUGCAAUGGAAAAAACCAGUAGGUAGUCACAUAGGUCAGCAUUGUAGAGAAGAUAGUAUCAACCAGCAUAAAGAUCAUAGGAAAGGUUAGUAGAGAAUCAGAAUUGCUUAAAGAGGUAAAGUUUGAAACAAUGAUUUCAAGACUUAGUUGAGCAGUAGAUGAAACAAAUCCAGAAACUCGAAAUAUAUCCAAAAGAGUUAGGGUUUCCAAAAUAAAAAAAAGUUCAAAGAUGAAGAACAAGCAAAUCACAUAGCCAAGGGUCAGAAAACUCGGAUGAACCCCCAAAUUUAGGGUUCUUGCGAUUAAUCAAGUGCAGAUAUGAAAUGACAAGUGAUUAAGGGUAAAUAUACGAAUCGAGAGAGAUUUAGAGGUCUCAUAAAUGAACUGAGACCUUUAACAUGCUCUUUCAGUAGCAGAACUCUUGAGAAGCAUAGUUAAAGAAUAAUGCGAAAUACAAUAGUAAAACUCAAAAAAACAUAGUAGGAAAAACGAAUAAGAAACCUCGUAGAAGUAACUAACAAGAACACAGUAUGAGAAACAUAUACACAAACACACAAAAAACACAAUAGAAGAAACUGAUAAGAACAUAGUAGAAGAAACUUACCAAGAACACAGUACGAGAAACAUAGUAGGAGAAACACAGUAGAAGAAACACAUAAAGAAAAAUCAGAGAAAAAUCUAAAUAACUUAGAAACCCUAAAUCGGAAAAAUAAAGGUUUUAAAAGCAUAACUUCGUAGGAAAUAUCAAGAAAUCGUUUAAAUAGUUUAGGGAAAACAUGGACCUGGAACAGAUAUAAAGAAAAUCAGAAGAACCUCAAAAGCUAGGGUUUCAGAGGAACCUAAACUGUGAGAAAGACUUGGAUCGUUGUUGAUAUAAAUAGGCAGAGUUGAGGCUAGGCCCGAGCAGACAUGGCUUACUGGUGAUGGCCCUAGAACUUGAAACACACAAAGAUCUGGAUCCUGCUCUUUCGUGGUCAGGUAAUGAGACUUAAUUAACCAAACGCGGAGAAGCCAUAGAAGGCCUGUGGGUGGUGAAACCACCAUAGAUCUAGGCUAGGAGGUGGCCGCAGAAGGUGAGUGAAACCCAUCGGAGCAGAGGGGAUGAGGAAGUUUCUAGAGAGAACCGCAGAGAUAGAGAUAGAGAGAGAGUUGGCUGAG
rnacentral:lncRNA from 1 species